rnacentral:rRNA from 1 species
GAUGAACGCUGGCGGCGUGCCUAAUACAUGCAAGUCGAGCGAAUGGAUUAAGAGCUUGCUCUUAUGAAGUUAGCAGCGGACGGGUGAGUAACACGUGGGUAACCUGCCCAUAAGACUGGGAUAACUCCGGGAAACCGGGGCUAAUACCGGAUAACAUUUUGAACCGCAUGGUUCGAAAUUGAAAGGCGGCUUCGGCUGUCACUUAUGGAUGGACCCGCGUCGCAUUAGCUAGUUGGUGAGGUAACGGCUCGCCAAGGCAACGAUGCGUAGCCGACCUGAGAGGGUGAUCGGCCACACUGGGACUGAGACACGGCCCAGACUCCUACGGGAGGCAGCAGUAGGGAAUCUUCCGCAAUGGACGAAAGUCUGACGGAGCAACGCCGCGUGAGUGAUGAAGGCUUUCGGGUCGUAAAACUCUGUUGUUAGGGAAGAACAAGUGCUAGUUGAAUAAGCUGACACCUUGACGGUACCUAACCAGAAAGCCACGGCUAACUACGUGCCAGCCGCCGCCGUAA